rnacentral:lncRNA from 1 species
CGGAGGUGUCCGGCGGGCUGCAGUUCCGGUUUAUCGCGGCCUUCCCACACCUUCGCGUUGUACCACCACGGGGCUAGAGGGGCCGGGGAGCGCAUCCCGCCCCCGCCCCCACCCACGCCGCCCCCUCCUCCGCCGCCACUGCCGCUCCUCACACACUCGGAAUCACUGGCCUCACUACCUGGGGUCGGGGCGGUGCGGGUGUGCGCGCGCCGACCUCUGGCGCGUUCUAACCCGCGCGCCUGCCUUCCCGGGCUUCGUCGGCGCGCACCGAUUUCCGCAUCCGGCUCCGGACGCUUCCGGUCUUAGCUGGACCCGUCUGGGAGGGUGUACUACAGACCUCCACAUGUUGGACAGUAGGAUUCAGCAGAGAAUGAGUCCCACAUCCUCUUUUCAUCCAUAAGCCACUCUUCCCAACUACUCUUCCGCCUUCCAUUGUCCCUAUGUCUACUUUACUGCUCAAUCUGGAUUUUGGGGAACCUCCUCCCAAAAAGGCAUUAGAAGGAAAUGCCAAGCACCGAAAUUUUGUCAAGAAGCGGAGGCUCUUAGAACGGAGAGGCUUUCUGAGUAAAAAGAACCAACCCCCUAGCAAGGCGCCUAAGUUGCACUCUGAACCUUCAAAGAAAGGGGAAACUCCUACGGUCGAUGGCACUUGGAAGACCCCUUCCUUCCCAAAAAAGAAGACAGCUGCUUCCAGCAAUGGGUCAGGACAGCCCCUGGACAAGAAAGCUGCAGUGUCUUGGUUGACCCCUGCCCCUUCAAAAAAGGCUGAUUCUGUUGCUGCUAAAGUAGAUUUGCUGGGGGAGUUCCAGAGUGCCCUUCCAAA